rnacentral:lncRNA from 1 species
CACUUUGAAUCCUGAGUCCAUCACUCACUGGCUGUGGGACCUUGAGAAAAUUGACUUCAUAGGGGCAAGAUAAGGGUAAAAUGUAAAGCACUGUGCUUGGCACACAGCAAACAUUCCAUAGUUGUUUCACAACAUUAUUAUUAACUGUAGGUAUCACUGACAGUCAGUGAUGGUGGUUCUGAUCAAAAAAGACAAUCAUUUUGUCUUCUCCCCUACAUACUCUUUUUGAUUAAGAGGACAAAAUGGUUAUUAUAUUCCAUUUUUGUCUUUUUUUUUUUUUUUUUUUUUUUUUUUGCUCUGAUAAAAUAGAGAAACCUUUGGGACUUACUCUCCAGUUUCAAAAACUUUGAACUAACUUGUUAUUAUGUGAUACUAUGUUUGACUCAGGGAAUAGAAUAUUUUUCUCCAGAGAACUGAACUUAAACUAUUAUCCCAAAUCCAAUGAGUUCAGCUACUCUGUUUUGUUCCAUGGGCUUUUUGACCCAUGUUAAAAGUAAGUGUUUAAGAGACACAUGGGAUCAAAUCAGCAGGUGAUCUAUGAUCAGGCAAGAAAGGGAUGUUUGCUGGAUGAAUUUCCCUGGUACCUGCUUGAUUUGGUGAGUUGGUCCUUGACCAAUUUCUAAACAACAUCUCGAAAUUCAGAGUGAAAUAUUAAGUAAAGAAAUAAAUUAAAGGGUUGACACUCAGGGAACCAUCUGCCUUCGAUGAUAGAAUUAGCACUUUGAGUUAAUUACAGUCAGGGAGGUUUUAUGCCUUUUCUCACAAUCACUUCCCGCUAACAACAAUUCCAUUCAUUGCCACACCUUACACUUUCUGUUCCACAUACAGCAUCCCCCAGGAACUUCAUAGGCUUUGGAGGGAGACUGCAAAGUGAGAGAGGUGAAUGGGCUCCCUAUCAGGCUAAGGGCCAUGGAGGUUCUCAGUGCAGAACAAACCCCUGCCAUAGGCAAUACCCAAGAGGAUAAAGCAUAUUCAUGCAACUGCCUGUAGUCUCUGUACUUCUAAUGAGGAUGUUCCUCUUCCUGCCUGUCCCUGCCCCCUCCCUGCAACUCUCUGGAGUGCAGGUACCAGGGGAAUCUGCUCAUAUUCAGACAAAUGAAAGCAGGAGAUAAUAGAAGACUGGGAGCAUCAGAGCAGCCAUCUGACAUGCAAAGAAGUGACUCACAAGGGGACUGUAACCUAAGAAAAUGUCAUAAGAAAACAAAAAGAUUCCCAGCAGCACUAUUUUUAAGUAAAAAAAAAAAAAAAAAAAAAAAAAAAAAAAAAAAAAAAAACAAAACAAAACAAAAACUAUAAAGAAUCAAAACCACACCAGUGUGUAGAAGGGCCAGAAAUAUCCUGAUGGAAACCAUGAUGGAACACCAUACAGCUAUUAAACAUAACAAGUUUAUGGAUGACAAACAUGUAGAAAUGUUUAUAUAGAAUAGUACAAAGUGGAAAGUUACAACUAACAAUGUCAAAAUUAAUUUAUAUGGCUGCAUUUAAGUGCUGAACAUAGCUAUAAAGAAAUCCCACAACCCAAGAGAUAAGAAUCUUUAUGAGUUUAUCCUAUCUUAACUUAAAUGGAUCACACAACUAUAUUACUGCAUUUCUCUAGUAAGUUCAUUUUCCCAGUGUUGUUAAGUGCUCUGUACUUCCUCCACUAGGCUCAAACUUCCCAGCUCUCUCAUAAUAGAAUCCUCGGAGGCAUCUGUGAUUCUUGCCCUGCUUGCUCGAAUUUGGCAAUGUGAUCCUUCUUUCCUAUGUUCCAGCUACGCUGGCCUCUUGGUCUUUGAAUUUGCUAAGUGCUCUACUUUCUCGAAGGCUCCCCCUGUGUUCCUGCUGCCUCAGAGGCCCUUGUCCCAAGUCACUCAACUCAACUAAGUUUAACAUUUAUGUACCCCUGCUUGUGCUCCCUCUACUGUUAUCCUCACUCGGCCAUAUACACUUCUUCACUGUACCUAGCACACUUUGUAAUUAUAAUUGCAUUUGCAUGAUUAUGGGUUUACAGUGUCCUCCUCCCCUAAAGAGAUGUCAGCUCACUAGGAAUAAUAUCUGAGCUGUUCCUAUAUCUACCUAGCACAACACAGCACCUAGCCCAGAUUGGUUAUCUCAUAAAACUUUGCCGAAUGAGGGGCACCUGGGUGGUUCAGUCAGUUAAGCAUUUGUCUUCUGUUCAGGUCAUGAUCUCAGGGUCUUGGGAUUGCACUCCAGGUCAGGCUCCUGAUCAGUGGGGAAUCUGUUUUACCUCUCCCACUGUCCCUCCCCCUGCUUAUGCUCCCUCUCUCUCAAAUAAAUGAAAAAUAAAAUCUUAAAAAAAAAAAAAAAAAAAACCCACUAAAUUAAAAAAGAAACUGCUGAAUGAAUGAAUAGGUUGGAUGAAUGGGUGAAUGAAUGAAGUGAUGAGAAUAUGAGUAUAUAUAAUGUAAUAAUGUAAUAUUCAUUGGGUUUUAUUUUUUCCAUAAAAUAACCAUGUGGUGUAGUCUAUUGAAUAACACUUUGCUCUCAUUUGAGUAGUGCUUUCUAUUUUUUGAAGCAUUUUCACAAACAAUAAAUUUUUUUGAUUCAUAGAACCCUUGAGGGAGACAGUAUUCCAGGUUCAUGUUUGAGAACAUGGAGGUUCUGAGAAAUUAACUAAUUGGCCCAAGCCAAACUAAGUGGUAGAGAGAAGUCUAGAAUCCAGACCUGCUAGAUUCAGGCCAGGGAUUUGGCUCCCUGCCCCUACGGCUGCUAGUAUGUCACUGUGUCCACUGUAAGGCACACUGGGAGCACUGAAGGACUGGCAAGUACAGAGGCAUUAUCCUGAUGCAUCUUUGUUGCUCAGGAAUGAUGGGAGGCGAUAGUGCUAUAAUGAGGAGAGGGUUCUGGCCCCUAGCAGGUGGGAUUGGAGUGGUGAGGCAGUGGGUAGUGAGCCUCAGAUGUGGCUCUCAGGUCACUCUUUCACAUGCAACCUGCAGUUGUUCAAUAUCUCAUUGUCCUUUUUACUCAGGCGAUCAUAUCAGAAUGUUGAUUAAUCAAUUGCACAGGUGGCUCCAUAGUCACUAAAUGCAGAUGCAAGACAACAGAAUGGAUAGAGCAUGGGCCAGCUCCUUGGUGGAACACCAAAGUUAUGGUCAGAAAAGUUGAAAGGCCUGGAGAAGUCAGAGAGAGCCAACAUGUAUAUGUCAACACCAACUGUCACUCUGGCAAACCCAUGACCCAAUUUAUCAUAUUGUCUUGUCUGAAUAUUUACAAAAAUAUAAACUCAGAGGACAGAGAUGUGGUAGGACAGGGAGUAAGAUAUAGAAAGAUGAGGAACCAAAUGAAGGCCUAAUCCUAAGGCAGAAAGUACUUCCUGGUGCCAUAUGCUUUCAGUACACACUUGUCAUCAAAUCCACUCACGCAUCCUGUUCAAGCCCUCACUUCCUCAGCCCUUGUCUGCAGCAGUUUUCCACAAAGAGCUUGAUGACAGCUGUGUCUGUUGGGAAAACCAAAGCCUCAUUUUUCUCUCUUCAGAAGCAUCUGAGGAUGGUGAUACUUGCCACCACUUAACGAGGUGGUGGUAAGGCCAGCCAUGUUGAGGCUAGUGAUUUCUUCCCUUCCAGAGAAUGCCAUAAUUCCAGAAUUUUGUAAUUCCCUAGGCAAAUGGCAAGUGGUACCUAAUGCUGAUACCACAGGAUCAAGGCUGGACCAAGACAAAUUAGGAGUUGAAUGCUCAUUGCCUCUCAAUGCUUUUUGUAUUAUCAAAUUACUAUUUUUUUUGCAUCAUGUUUUCGUAUAACUAAAAGAAUGACAUGGUCGUUAUUAAUAACAUAAUUACUUGAGGGAACCCUGUAAGAUGAAAACAAAUCCAGUAGUGGAAAUAGCUACCAUUUUUAAUACCAAGGAAUUUCAUCUCUUGCAAUAACCUUUUUUACUAGUAAAGAAAAUGAGAUUUGAGAUGCUAAGAUAGUCUUAAUCCAGUAGGGAGUGGAGUUGGAAGUCAGCAUUGAGUCUGUUCCCAACCAUGUUAUUAAGUAGUUGCGUGGCCUUAGGUAAGUUACUUCACCUCUCUGGGUUUCUAUUGCCUUCCCAGAGAAAGGGAGAGUGAGUUAGACUUAGAGAUAGUGCAGGUAACUUCUGAGUGUUUGUUUGAUGCUGAAUUUUAUUGCUUUUCUUCAUCAAUGAUCGUUCUAGUUCUUGUUUGGGGUUUUUGUUUGUUUUUGUGUUUAUUAAUCUACCUUUCUCAUCAUCCAACUCUCAACUUGUCACUCAGAGAGUUUCCCUGACCACUCCUGCUAAAAUAGCCUGUCUACCUCCUCCACUUUUCAUGACAAAGUCUAAACACCUGAGCAUGGUGCACACAGUUGUCACAAAUUGGUCCCCAUUUCCUUCUCCAGAACCCAGAAAGUGAUCAAUAAAUCUACGUUGAUUGGAUUCAUGAAUGUAUCCAGUGUGUUACAAGUUCUUUUGAUUCUGCCACAGAAAACUCUAGUUCUGUGCUGUAAACAUGUGGCUAUUUGAAUUUAAAUUAACUAAAAUAAAAAAUUCAGUUCCUUAGUCUCACUCAUCACAUUUCAAGUACUCAAGAGCCACAUGUGAGCUCUGGUAUAGUGGCUGGUGUAAUGGACUAGUGGCAAAGAUAACACUUCCAUCACUGCAGAAAGUUCUAUUGGACAGUGCUGGUCUAAGUACUGACUCUUCCUUCCUAAGCCCACUGGGAUCCUUCACCUGAUUCUUACGUCUCAGCCUCUUCAUUGGGCUGACAGUAGUCUCCUCCCUCGCUAGUCCAUUCUGCACCCUGCCUUAGUCAUUGAGUUCAUUUAUUCAUGCCACAGAUACUUAGGGAGGACCUCAUACAUGCCAAGUCUUCAUAGGAGCCUGAGCAGCUCACGAGUCAGACCUAGUCCUGACUCAGUGAACUUCCAGCCUAGAUACUGUGUGUAUGUCAAUCUUGUGCUUAAAAACCAUUGUUGGGUCACCCAGUUACCGACAUGAAGGAGGGCACGGGAUGUCAGGAGCACUGGGUGUUAUAUAAGACUGAUGUAAAUAAAAUUAAAAAAAAAAAA